ACACACGUGUUACAAUGGGGGGUACGAGCGGGAAGCCAGGCGGCGACGCCGAGCGGAACCCGAAAGCCCCUCCCAGUUCGGAUCGGAGCCUGCAACCCGGCUCCGUGAAGCUGGAUUCGCUAGUAAUCGCGCAUCAGCCAUGGCGCGGUGAAUACGUUCCCGGGCCUUGUACACACCGCCCGUCAAGCCAUGGGAGCCGGGGGCGCCUGAAGUGCGGUACCGCGAGGGCCGCCCAAGGGCGAGACCGGUGACUGGGGCUAAGUCGUAACAAGGUAAC
rnacentral:rRNA from 1 species